UUAAAACAUCAGUUCUCAUAUGAUCACUGAAGUUAAGUAAUGUCAAGCCUGCUCAGUACCUUGAUGGGUGGCCACUUGGGAAGACCAGGCACUGUAAG